CUUUUCUUGAGAUGUUUGUUUGCCACACAUCAGUGUUCUAAUAAUCGAAUCAGAGUGUCUUGCAGCCAAAAAUGUAUAUUUAUUCAAACAUACACACCAUCCAAAAAAUAACAUUAAAUGUCUUUGCACAGUCUUGACCAAUACCAAGCAAUGUGUAAGCACUUCAUGAUAGAAUCCAUUUUUGGUGUUAAAGUAUUGGUAACAAAAUCUUAGCUACAAUCGUUUUUAUAGGUUUAAAAAUCAGUUAUAUAGGAGCGUAUAAAUAAGGUUGCCUUACUUUAAAAUAAGUGGCUAUAAUAGAAAAAGGGUAGGGGCUUAGUAUCAUUUGAAAUCUAUGAUUAAAGUCAUACAUUAUAUUUAGGUGGUAAAAUAGAAGUUACUCAAAAGAAGUUUUAUAUACAUGAUACAUGGUUAACUGAAUAAAUGCCUUUAGACAUGUGAGCCUUGGUAAUACACAGGGAGUCUUGCUUACAAAGCUAGGUCAAAGGUUACUAUCAACAGGCCUUAAUCCAUCAUUCUUAACAAGAACCAUAUGUAGUGACCAUUCAUAUACAAUGAAAGUCUGUUACUAGUAUAGACUAGUAAGUUUCUGUGUCUGGAAGAAGUUUGAAUAAAGAUGCUAUAAUAUUCACAUCACAAAAACAAGAUUCUAAAGUUCAUUAAAUAUUUCAAUGUGCAGCAAGUUUUCUUCCUCCCCCUACUCCUGAUUUAUUGGAAAAAAAAUGUAAAUAUCUUUACAUAAUUUCAUUAUUUUGUUGGGUUAUAAUAGAGCACAAGAACAUCUUUCCAAAGAUCUAUAUCAACAAUUACUUUUUUAUAUAAAUAGUAACCUUGUCUAUCUCCUGUAUAUUGUUGGAGAUUUUGAAGUAAUUAGGCACAGUUUACAAAUUUUGUGUUAUUUUUUCACCAAAUUUACACAGUUUUACAAAGAUUGCACUAGUCAAAUCUGAGAUUUAACAAAUGUCUGUAUAAUUUAGGAUUAGCCUGCAUAUAUAGGUACAAUGAACUCCAAGUUUGGAGUUGGACUGUCUGUAUCACAUUUUGGUACACCAAGGAUAUAUUUAUUACUAUUUAAUCAACUACAUUUUGAUUAAAGGGAUAGUAGGAAGCUGGGAUAUACCAUUUGGAUAUUCAGGCAUCUUUAUUUUUUUCUUUAUAUUUUUGUUGAGCAUAUGAAUACAAAUAAGCAACCUAGCCACAACAGCAUAGGUAAGCAAUUACUGUGACAGACAAAAGAUAACGUGGAUAUGUCAUUAGCUACAUUUUCUUAGAGUAAAAACAACAAGCUAGAUAAGCAUGUCUAGAUAUAGGUUAAAGUAUUAGCUUGUGAACAAGUAGGCUUUCUAGACAUGAAGACAACUGAGGGAAUGGCAUAGUAUAAAAAAAGCUAAAUCACUUGUUAAGUUAGUACUUAGAAAGGUACCACUGCACAAAAAAGCAAUAUCAUGGUGCACCAUCAAACGCAACAUAAAUGAAAAUUAAUAAAAGGGACUAUGAUUAAUAUAAAAUACAGCAUAGUUCAAAUUAACAGCUGAAUGGUUAAUAGAUGGUGACUGUCAUGGCAAGGGUGCCUAAUUCAUUUUUGCACUAUAGAAUAUUGUAAUUUAAUGUAAUUUGUGUAGUGCAUAUAUUAAUUGGCCACUUGGUAGAGGUGGUAUUGUCAAUUUCAAAAGUGGUUUAUUUGAUUGUAUGAGAGGUCAGAAGGUUUAUAACAUAAAUUCCUCUUUGAAGACGAGGACCCCAACAGAGCUACUCUGUAAGGUGUGAGAAGUCACACAUACAUGGUCUGGUAGUCUAGUUUAAAUAUAAACUAACUCUCUGAUUUGCCAUAUUUCUAGAGUCUUUCUUAGAUAAGGAGUCCUUUGAUAUGAAUGGUAAUUAGCUUUCAAGAAAAAACAAACAAACAAACCCUGGUGUUCCAGUAUCAUAUCCAAAAGAAACAUUAAUACUUACCCACAUAUUAAUAAUUAAGCCUCAUUUUUAUUAUAUUUAGAAUGGGACAAGCACAAUCUCUUAAUCAAGCCUAAACAUGAUUGGCAUAAAUUAACCAUAUGGGUCACAAGUAAGAAGUUUGACAUAUUUAUGGAAUUGAAAAAUGGUAACAAAUUCAUAGAUGCAUUUAUUAUUUCUGUGGCAAGUACAAAAGAGGAGAUAUAAGAAAAAGUUUCUAUUUGGAUUGAUGUUGGUCUGGCACACAAAUGGGGUGGUCAUUUAUUGCCUCAUUUGGUAUAUAUAAUCCACAGGGUAUAUAUCCAAUUUGAAAUGUGUAUUAUACUUGCUUAUGUGUCAAAAUGUGUAUUUUGAGUGAGUCACCAUCUUCCUUGCCAGAGACCCCCUGGGCAGAAGUUUUACUUUGAAAACCUGACUAAGUGAUUAGGACAUCUGUUAUUUUAUCCCUUUUGUUUUUGUCUGUUAGUAUAAAUAUUUGUUUAUCAUCUAUUUAUGCACUGUGACUAUGUUUUGCUCAUAAUAAAUAUUCCAUUAUUAAGUUCUGCCUUCAGCUCCGUUUUAAACUGGUUCUGAUCACUUCUUUUGGUAUUAGUGGCUAUGUGAUUAUGUCAGUUAUGAUUGAUGGUUGUCCCAGUAAAAGGCUUGAACUAUGUGCUUGGUCCGGAGCGCUUCCAAGUUGCGCCUAGCCACCAUGAGGCUUAGGCACUGCCCGGGAUCCUGCUGGUUUUUAACCCACUGAUUCACACGCACUGGGUGAGGGGAUAGUAGAUUGCAAUUGGCUCCUUCCUGGUUCUAAGUUCUGAGAAUUCCUGAUGGAUAUUAUUCAUGCUCAUCUCCAGAGGUACUAGGGGUUAUUGUGUAGGCUUUCAUAGUCAUGUGUAUAAGAUAAAAAAAAACAUACUUCCAUUGUAUUCAACAGGGAAGCAGUCCUGUUUGGUAUUAUGAGUUUAUUUUCAUAGAAACAUAGAAUGUAAUGGCAGAUAAGAACCAUUUGGCCCAUCUUGUCUGCCCAAUUUUCUAAAUACUGACAGUGGUCCCAGGCCUUAUCUUAUAUCUAGGAUAGCCUUAUGCCUAUCCUACAUAUGCUUAAACUCCUUCACUGUGUUAACCUUUACCACUUCAGCUGGAAGGCUAUUCAUUGUGUUAACUACCCUUUCAGUAAAGUAAUACUUCCUGAUAUUAUUUUUAAACCUUUGCCCCUCUAAUUUAAUGCCCCUCUUGUGGUAGUUUUUCUUCUUUUAAAUAUAGUCUCCUCCUUUACUGUGUUGAUUCCCUUUAUAUAUUUAAAUAUUUCUAUCAUAUCCCCCUGUUUCAUCUUUCAACAAGCUAUACAUGUUAAGAUUCUUUAACCUUUCCUUGUAGGUUUUAUCCUGUAAUCCAUGAACCAGUUUAGUAGCCCUUCUCUGAACUCUCUUCAAAGUAUCAAUAUCCUUCUGGAAUUACGGUCACCAGUACUACAGAAUACUGGUGAGGUCUCACUAGUGUUCUGUACAAUGGCAUGAGCACUUCCCUCUUUCAACUGCUAAUAUACCAAGCAUUAGCAUUCUGCUAGCAUUUCCUGCUGCUCUAUUAUAUUGUCUGCCUAUCUUUAAGUCAUCUGAAAUAAUCACCCCUAAAUCCCUUUUCUCAGAUGUUGAGGUUAGGACUCUAUCAAAUAUUCUGUACACUGCCCUUGGGAUUUUACGUCCAAGAUGCAUUAUCUUGCACUUAUCCACAUUAAAUGUCAGCUGCCACAGAUUUGACCAUUUUUCUAGUUUACCUAAAUAAUUUGCCAUUUUGCUUAUCCCUCCUGGAUCAUCAACCCUGUAACACAUCUUAGCAUCAUCUGCAAAAAGAUAUACCUUGCCAUGAAGACCUUCUGCAAUAUCACUAAUAAAACUAUGAAAGAGAAUGGGUCCCUACAGAUUCCUGAGGUACCUCACUGGUAACAAAGUUUGAAUUUACUGCAUACUUUGAAUAUACUCCAUUCACUACAACCCUCUGUUGUCUGUCCCUCAGCCAUUGCCUUAUCCAUUCAACAAUAUUGGAAUCAAAGAUUAAAGAUCAGGCCCCAUUGAUUUUUGUCUUUACUUUUGACAAUUGAAAUAGAACCUCUUCCUCUGUAAACUCACAUGUAACAAAUUACUAAUUUGUCCUUUUUCCUAACUGAGGUCCCUUUCUUUCAUUUUCAUCUGUAAAUACUGAACAAAAAUAUUAAUUGAGGCAGUCAGUUAGACCUUCUACAUACUUUCCUUUUUUUUUUAAAUCUAACUAAUCAUUGUUUUACUUUCCUUUUCUCAUUUAUGCAUUUAAAAAAUGUUAUGUCCUUUUUUUUGUUUUUGUUUUUUAACUAACUGUGCUAUUUUCUCUUCUGUGUGAGAUUUGGAAGCUCUUAUUUGCUUAGCCUCUUUCUGCCUAAUCUUAUAGAUCUGUCUGUCUUCCUCACUCUUUUUUUUUUUAAUAUAAUUUCUAAAUACUAACUUUUAGUUUUUUACUAUUUUGGCCACUUUUACCGAGUACCACAGUGGUUUCUUAAAUUGUGCUUUUACUGACAAGCCUAAUGCAAUUUUCUGUUGCCUUCAGUAGUGCAAUUUUUAAAUAAUCCCAGUUCUCUUGGACUCCAUUUAAACUGCUCCAGUCUGACAUGGACUCCUUUACACAUAUUCUAAUUUUAGAAAAGUCUGUUUUUCUAAAGUCUAAAAGGCUUGUUUUUGUGUGGUUUUACUCAGUCACUGUUCUUAUAUUAAACCACACUGACUGAUUAUCACUGGAUCCUAAACCGUCGCCUACAGUAAUAUCCACAUAAUAUGGGUUGAAAAAUAUAGCAGAUAUUUGAAUGUCAUGUCAUAUUGAAUGUCAUAUUUUGAGUAAUGAGUAUGUACGCCCAAAAUAUUAUGACCCCCGGUAGAAUGGUUAGAAUAAUAAGCUAGGAAGGGGGAACAAAACUUUUCACCCUCACUUGUUAUUCUAAAACAUCUUACUCAGCAAAUGCUCUGAAGUGGACAUAUUAUUUAAUUGCCUCUCCCAGAAAUGCAAUAUUAAACUGAAACUUAUUUAGAAAUGUCUGAUUUACUGAUGUCUGAUGUUCUGAAACAUGUUUAUUGACAGCGCAGCUAGUCAUAAAUUAAUUUGUACAUUCCGUCAAUCACUGUAUUCUAACUAAAUUGUCUUUAAUAGAAAACUGAAUUGGAUUUUAUGUAUCCAAUUCUGGUAUUUAACCAGAAUUGUUGGGUUCAAAUAUAGUAUUUUUAGAAUAGCAAGUUUCAGUAGAUGACCCUAUAUUAUAGAUAGUUCUUAUCUGGCUUGCCUUACAGUAGUUUCAUUUCACAUUCCUCUUUACUGUUUCCAGUUUCACACUAUACAUAUAAAUUAUACUCUGUGUACAACGGUGCCCUCUACCAGUAUUUAUUGAGAAUACAUUUUAUUAUAUAGUAAAGUCUUCAUUUUCUGUUUUUAUUGACAAAGAUAAAGGAACAGUGUAUUGUUAGGAAUACAUAUAUUUUAUUUGAGAGCUGCAUGAUUUUAUAAAUGACUGCCCUAAUGAAUAUGUAAAAUGUUUUUAAAGACAAUCGGACGGAUGAUGGCAAAUAUAAUGGACAUUAUACCAUAAGAAAAACGGUGCCCAGAGUAAGAAUGUAAAGACACGGACUGACGUCAUGAUGAAAUAAUGUCAGACAACUCUCACAAGGAGAGACAGAACAAGGGAUACAGGGUGCACCAAAUAAAAAAAAUAAAAAAAUACAAUAAAAAGGUACCAAAAGCAAGUAAUACAAUUUUUAAAGUGUUCAUAUGACAUCUUGGGUCAAAUUAUCAGCAGCAUAUGAAAAAAGAGAUAUAACAGAUGGGACCAAUGGUACAAUAUAGUCAG